UUGUCAAAAAAAAAAAAAAGAAUGGGUAUUUUUCACCCUAUAAAGUGAUCAUCCAAAUUUUAUUUCUACAUACAAACGAGAAUAAAAAUAUGGCAGAAAUUCUCAAGUUUAUUUAUGUUAUGAUUAUUUUCCUUUUCAUGUGUAUGAUUGUAACUAAUGGAAUUUAUUUAUGCGAACAUGAUGAAGAAUGUCCUGAAAAUGAGUGUCUCUAUCAUGAACAUUCACAUUGCAUAUGGGGUGUUUGCCGAUGUGUGUAAUGGUAGUUGUUAAGUUCAAAUAUAUAUAAUUAUAUGGUACUUUUAAGAAUAUAUAAAUGCCUUUGCAAUAAUAAUGUUGGUACUUUUUUUUUCAAGUAGCUUAGUGAAUAAAAAUUUCACCCUUAAAAUGGAUAAGUGGAAUGAUUCGGAUUCGAACCCUAACUCAUGCAUAUAUAAUGCAAUGUUCUUGUCAUUAGAGCUAUAAUGUUGGUACUUUUAAUUAUGUGGUACUUUUAUAUUUCUUUCAAUGCAUCAAUUUUUGUA